AGGAGGUAGUUUAAUUAGAAUGUCAGCUUUGGGUGUUGAUGGUGGAGCUUGAGCUCUCCUCUUGA
rnacentral:tRNA from 1 species